AUGUGUACGGAGGUCGGCCUGUCCUUUCAUCCGACCACAACUCUGACGCUGGAAAAGUUGGCCCUGCCGCAUAUCGUUAUUUCAGCGGUGGCUGUGCCCAUCCGGCUAACAGCUGCGGGCCAAACUACUGUUGCUGCCGCGUUCGCUAGCUCCAGCAUCUUCCCAAGACUGGGGCAGGACUGCAAGUGACUAGACACAACAAAGAUGGGAGUUUUCCAAAACUCAGAUUUGCACAGUACAGGAUAUCUUUUACCUGAUAAUGUGAUAGUUCAUCACCGUACUUACACCUAUAAUUCUGUUUUUUCUCAUGCACCUUUGAUACUUAAUUCAGAUAUCCAAUCAGUAUCCUGAUUCCUUUAGUUUCUAUCCAGCUGAUCCAAACAUUGCUACGUGUCAUCAUGAACCAAUAAUACAUUUAAAUUCUUAUCUUUUCAAUCAUGAGUUUUUAUAUAACCAAAUUUUGAAUUAUACAUGUGCACAAGAUUAUACAAUAGCCACUUCAUUUGUGCAAAAUAAUUACCAAAUCUCAGAUUCACACAUAACAGGAUGUAUCUGCUUUGCAGUUUGAAGUGAAACAUCAGUUUUCUUCUUUCAGUUCUUGAGAUAAAAUUCAACAGCAUUUACACAGAAAAGAGAAUGAUGUACCUUCUUUACAUUGUUGUUUUUUUAUCUUUAAUAGCUAAUCAUCUAAGUAAAAAUGGAGACAUUGUUUUAGGUCUGUUUGUCUUGGUGUUUGUUUGCAUUAUUUGAGGUGACUUAGCUGGGUUUAGAAGUAGCAUGUAAUGAGUCAUGGCUCCACCAAUAGUUACUUCAGGUCUCUAGGUUUGCCCAUUUAAAGCUUGUGACAAUAAUAUUCAGCCAAUUCCAUAUCAAUAACCAUGUCUUGGUGAUUACAGCAGUACACUUUUGUAGUGUAGCCGGUGUGUACUGUGUACUGGCUUGAUGAAUAUGUCAAAGGCUUCAUGAUGUAAAGAAGGAUUACUACAUUCCUUGUUUUUAUAUUCUGGUGUUGCUGCCUGUUCCUAGUUACUACACUGUCUUUAGUCGUGGAGAAAUUAUGACUAAUGCAUGCAAACAAGGAGAUGAUGAAAUACAAAUGUAGCUACUUCAUUUGUGCACUCAGAACCUAUCAGGCAUUUAUAGCCAGAAAUAAAGCAGAUUGUUCCACAUACAUAUGAACUCUUUAAUUUCAACAUUUCUGUACACCUUAAAAUGACUGCGGGAGUACAGGUGUAAGAUACACCUGACACUCCUUCAAUGUUUUCGUAUCUUGCGACGCUGAUAACGUGACAUCUGCAGGCAAUGACGUCCACCAACUGAUGUCAGCUUGCUAUUAACUGUGUAUUUGACUUAAUAAAAGACAUUCCAGUAAUCCAA